GUUUAUGAAAGAUGAAUGAGAUUAUGUAUUGAAGCUAAAUAUUAUAACGUAUUCCUUUUUCAUAAACAUUUUUUAGUGUAUAGCAACCUUGAAAAUCAACAACUUGACAAUCACACGUAUGAUGCUCUUCAGCCAACAAGUAAAUAGGUUUAAUUUUGAAAAACAGACAAAAGAGAAACCAUCGAUAGAUCAUGUAUGGUGCCAUGACGGUCUAACAGACUACAAUACAGAUGAAGGUCAAAUUGUGUCCGUCAAAAAUAUUUCGACCUUAAUAUUUUGCAACAAUCAGGCUAUAGUGAUGAAGAGAUAGAGGGAUGAUCGUUAAUUAGCUGUUUUACAAUGCAUAUAUAUCUUUUAAUAAAGUUAUUUUAGUGUU